UUUUGCAUUGGACCUCACACAUUGAAAGCUUUCACAUGAUUUAGAGCAAAACAAAAAUAUUUUCUUGGUUCUGUUUUGGUUAUUAAACUGGCGAAGAUAUUUAGAGUUAAAGUGUACUUUUCUCAAUAAGGCAGAAUUUCAAAACUUGCUUGACCUAAGUAAAUAUACGCGACAUGUUUGGGGUGUUGUUGUAUAGUAUCGAGCGCGCUUCAGUCCACUCUUAUAGGUUUUCGUCUUAUGCAAAUAUCACACCUUCUGAACAGUUUAUUUAUUCAUGAUCAUUAUUCUGCGCUGCUUUUAAAUUUGUGAGCUCGCUACAAGCCCGCUUUUUUGCUGUUUCAUCCUCUCGCCCCUCCCUUGUGGAAAAAGCUCGGAACUUGUGCAGUUAGCCACCCCUUCCCAUCCCUGUGAAAGUAGGCGGGACAGUCUAUGUAACGCAGUGUUUUCUUUGCUGUGAUUAUCAGGUUGUGGUUGACGCUUUUAACGGACACUUUGCCUCUGUUGGAACAUAAAGAGGUCAUCUUUUCCAGCUCACAGACAUAUGAAUUAAUGCACUGUUUAGAGGAAAUAAGGCUCUCAUUCAGAACCAAGGAGUACCUGGAACAUCCUGACCGGGCGCCCGCCGAGGAGCCUUUAUUGAGGACCUUGAGUCAGGGCCCUGGACUGAAGUCAGCUAAAAGCACAAAGGCACAACAAGACGAAGAGAGAGACAAGAUCGACCUGAUCCGCUUGGCACUGGCGCGCAAUCUGUCAAGGACUAUUUUAUGAGGCUGGUGUUUAAGCAAGGACUGAAGAACUCAUAAAAAUAUCAACUCAAAGAUGAAUCUCUGCGUUUAGAAACGCAAUGGCGAAGUGAAUUUUUUGCCACUUCUAUCGAAAUCUGGCCACCUGGCUUGCGAGGCAUUCCGGGGAAACUCAGCGGGUCAACCCGAAACUGACAUCGCUUUGAGCAAGAGGAGUUUUUCCAAUCUCAGUUGAUAGUGAUAUAAAAAUAGUCAGUGGAAUGACGCUUGUGUAUAUUUUGUACGUAGGUAUGUAUUGCUUAACAAUAAACAACAUGCAUUUCUGAAAUUUUCUACCCACU